CUCCAGCCUCAGCCUCAGUUCCGGGCUUGAGUGGCUCAGCCGUCCCCCCAUCCUGGCCCCCGAACGCGGCUCGAAUGGCAAGUCAAAAUUCUUUCCGGAUAGAAUAUGAUACCUUUGGUGAACUCAAGGUUCCAAAUGAUAAGUAUUAUGGCGCCCAGACUGUGAGAUCUACAAUGAACUUUAAGAUUGGAGGUGUGACGAAACGCAUGCCAAUCCCAGUUAUUAAAGCUUUUGGCAUCUUGAAGCGAGCGGCCGCCGAAGUAAGCCAGAAUUACGGUCUUGAUCCAAAGAUUGCUGAUGCAAUAAUGAGGGCAGCAGAUGAGGUAGCUGAAGGUAAAUUAAAUGAUCAUUUUCCUCUCCUGGUGUGGCAGACUGGAUCAGGAACCCAGACAAAUAUGAAUGUAAAUGAAGUCAUUAGCAAUAGAGCAAUUGAAAUGUUAGGAGGCGAACUUGGUAGCAAGAAAGCUGUGCAUCCCAAUGAUCGUGUUAAUAAAAGCCAGAGCUCAAAUGAUACUUUCCCCACAGCGAUGCACAUUGCUGCUGCAGUAGAAGUUCAUGAAGUACUGUUACCAGGACUACAGAAGCUACAUGAUGCUCCCAAUGCGAAAUCCAAAGAGUUUGCGCAGAUCAUCAAAAUUGGGCGUACUCAUACUCAGGAUGCUGUUCCACUUACUCUUGAGCAGGAAUUCAGUGGUUAUGUUCAACAAGUGUCGUAUGCGAUGGCGAGGAUAAAAGCUGCCAUGCCAAGAAUCUAUGAGCUUGCAGCUGGAGGCACCGCUGUCGGUACCGGCUUACAUACUAGAGUUGGCUUUGCAGAAAAGGUUGCUGCAAAAGUGGCUGCACUCACAGGGUUUCUCUUUGUCACUGUUCCAAAUAAAUUUGAAGCUCUGGCUGCUCAUGAUGCUCUGGUUGAGCUCAGUGGAGCCAUGAACACCACUGCUUGCAGUCUGAUGAAGAUCGCAAAUAAUAUUCGUUUUCUGGGUUCUGGUCCUCGGUCGGGACUGGGUGAACUGAUCUUUCCUGAAAAUGAACCCGGAAACAGUAUCAUGCCAGGCAAGGUGAACCCACUCAGUGUGAAGCGAUGACCAUGGUUGCAGCCCAAGUCAUGGGGAAUCAUGUCGCUAUAAUCGUUGGAGGCAGCAAUGGACAUUUCGAGUUGAAUAUUUUCAAGCCAAUGAUGAUUAAAAAUGUGUUACACUCAGCCAGGCUGCUGGGGGAUGCUUCAGUUUCCUUCACAGAAAACUGUGUGGUGGGCAUCGAGGCCAACAGAGAAAGGAUCAACAAGCUGAUGAACGAGUCUCUAAUGUUGGUGACAGCUCUCAAUCCUCACAUAGGGUAUGAUAAGGCAGCGAAGAUUGCUAAGACAGCACACAAAAAUGGAUCAACCUUAAAGGGAACUUCUAUUGAACUUGGUUAUCUCACAGCAGAGCAGUUUGAUGAGUGAGUAAAACCUAAGGACAUGCUGGGUCCAAAGUGAUUUAAAUACAUUUAUAAUGGAAAUAAACAU